rnacentral:rRNA from 1 species
GACGAACGCUGGCGGCGUGCUUAACACAUGCAAGUCGAACGGAAAGGCCCUGCUUUUGUGGGGUGCUCGAGUGGCGGACGGGUGAGUAACACGUGAGUAACCUGCCCUUGACUUUGGGAUAACUUCAGGAAACUGGGGCUAAUACCGGAUAGGAGCUCCUGCUGCAUGGUGGGGGUUGGAAAGUUUCGGCGGUUGGGGAUGGACUCGCGGCUUAUCAGCUUGUUGGUGGGGUAGUGGCUUACCAAGGCUUUGACGGGUAGCCGGCCUGAGAGGGUGACCGGCCACAUUGGGACUGAGAUACGGCCCAGACGCCUACGGGAGGCAGCAGUGGGGAAUAUUGCACAAUGGGCGGAAGCCUGAUGCAGCAACGCCGCGUGCGGGAGGACGGCCUUCGGGUUGUAAACCGCUUUCGCCUGUGACGAAGCGUGAGUGACGGUAAUGGGUAAAGAAGCACCGGCUAACUACGU